rnacentral:lncRNA from 1 species
UGUCAGUUAAUUUUAAAUCAUUUUGGAAUUGUUUGCCUUUGCUUUCUCUGUCUGUUUUUUUUUUUUUUUGGUAGAUUGUUACAAAGGUCUGUUGGGUUCGAGUUUAGAUUUCAUGCUACUUGUGAAUCUCAGCUUCCCUUUUCUUUUAUAAUUAUGCUGUUUUUAAUUUUGCUCACCAUUUAGGUUAGGGGAGCAUUUUCUACAAAGGAAAAGGAGCAAGCGAACAAAGUAAGCUGCUGCCAAGUACACCAUGCAGUGAGAUGGUUGUCACGGAUCUUAGAGCUGGAUGAAACCAGGGUGACAUCAAAGACCAUGAGAUGGAAUCAGACUGCUUUGAACAGGAUGCCUCAGCGGUAUCCAGCUUUGAUACAUGUAAUUAAGAAAAACAUUCUGAUGGCUGCGAAGUCCGGCUGGCAGUGAACAGCCAGCAAGACGGGCCUCCAGGUGGAG